CGAGUGAAGCGGGAAGAGCUCAAGCUUAAAAUCUCCGUGCAAGUUUUGCGCGGCGAAUUGUAGUCUAUAGAGGCGUGGUCAGCGUGGGCGCUUGGGGCAAGUUCCUUGGAAGAGGACAGCAUGGAGGGUGAUACUCCCGUUCAUCCCUGAGUGGCUCGUGCGUACGACCCGUGUUCUUUGAGUCGCGUUGUUUGGGAAUGCAGCGCAAAGUAGGUGGUAAAUUCCAUCUAAAGCUAAAUAUUGGUGCGAGACCGAUAGCGAACAAGUACCGUGAGGGAAAGAUGAAAAGAACUUUGAAAAGAGAGUUAAAGAGUACCUGAAACUGCUGAAAGGGAACCGAAUCGUUUCCAGUGUCUAUAAUCCGUGGCAUAUUUCAUUGGCGAGUGUGCGCGUGCGUGUGCUGUGGCAGCGGCCUUUUUGGUUGCGCUCGGUGCGUGUGCUGUGUGUGCUUGCUGGUGCCCUGUGCUGCGGUGGGACGUCAAGGUCAGUUCGUAUGCUGCGGGAAAUGGCUGCCGAGGAGGUAGGGCUUACGCUCCGCGUUUGUCUGUUAUAUCUUGGUGGACGAGUCGUCGCGGUUGGGACUGAGGUGCCUACAACGUGCUUUUGAGUGGGUCUGUGUCUCCGUGUGCGCCGUGUGCGGAUAGCUUGCUAUGCGUGUGUGGUUGUGUGUGGAUUGAUGCGGGCUUUAACUUGUCGCCGUUCGGGACGUUGACGAAAUGGAGCGAUCCGACCCGUCUUGAAACACGGACCAAGGAGUCUAACAUGUGUGCAAGUGUUAGGGUGUGGAAACCCCAGCGCGAAAUGAAAGUGAAGGGCAGCGCAAGUUGUCUGAGGUAGGAAACGUUGCGGGCUUCGGUCUGCGGCGUGGCACUAUCGACCGAUCAUGAACCUUCGUGGUGAAAGAUUUGAGUUUGAGCACAUAUGUUGGUACCCGAAAGAUGGUGAACUAUGCCUGAGUAGGGUGAAGCCAGGGGAAACUCUGGUGGAAGCUCGUAGCGAUUCUGACGUGCAAAUCGAUCGUCAAACUUGGGUAUAGGGGCGAAAGACUAAUCGAACCAUCU
rnacentral:rRNA from 1 species